AUUCCGUCGAUCGUUUGUGAAAACUUUCUUCACGAAAGUUGUAGAGCUCGUCGAUACGAGUGCGUGGACAUGUGACGCGUUCAAAUCGGACGUCGGAGGUGGAAGUUAUUAACGCCGGAAGUUAGUUUCCGAUUUUGGAAACGAGUAUAAAAAGGAAUUAUUGUGAUUAGGGUUUCCAUUUUCAGGAAACCCUCUCUCUUCUCUCUUUCCGCCUCCCUCUUCCUCUCUCUCUCUCUCUCUCUCUCUCUCUCUCUCUCUCUCUCGGCCCGAGCUCAUUCUCCCUCAUUUCUUUCUUCUUCUAUUUUCUUCUUCACCGAGACCCCGCCGUCUCCUUCUCCACCAUCUUGAUCGCCUUUUCAUCCUCUUCCAAGCCAUGUUCCUCAAUCAUCCGCUGCACCCACGAAUUUGUGAGAUUAAAUCGAGGCAGUGGAACACCACCGAAGAAGCUCAUCACCUUCGGCGGAUUUCGACGAUGAUUUCCUUCUUCUUUGGGUGAGCUUGCCUAAACCCUUCAUACCCAAUCUAAUUGUUAUUUCAAUUUGAUGAAUCAGGGACUAAUCCCUCUUGUUCCUCCUCCUUUUCUGGGUUUAUUACCGUCGGUACACCAUCAUCACCGUCACCCUCCUCUUGUCGCAAUGGAGAGCUCGCCUGACCCUAAUUGGUCUAAAAGAGACUUGAAGCAAUCUCAGCCGUCCAAGGGACAGUGGCAAUGAAGAAGGAGGACUGCAGGAACUCGGAUUGGAGUCAAGGACAGAGCAGCAUCCUCGGCUUGCAUUUUUAGUUCUUCAGGUGAUCUAUAAAGCGAGGCAAGGAAAUUAUCUUCGGAAUUGUGGGAUUACGCUCAAGUUAUUAAGGGGAUACUUCCACAGGUGCUGAGUAGUGGUGAUCGGGUGACGACUCCGAAGACUCAAAGUCGAUUGCAUCCAGUCGUGGUGAGGUUCCUGUGUGGAUUGUGUGUGAGUUUCUCUGUGAUUUCAUUGUGAGGUUGUUGUGAGGAUUAUACAAUUCCAUUUGUUAAAUGUUGAAUUAGCAUUUGGUUUGUAAUAAUCGGCUUGACUGAGUUAUGUUUUAAACUCAGAGGUGAUCCGCUGUGACAUUAAAUGAUUUCAUUUUCAGUGAGAUUGUUUUUGGUGUUCUAACGA